UACGAAGGGGGCUAGCGUUGUUCGGAAUUACUGGGCGUAAAGCGCACGUAGGCGGAUAUUUAAGUCAGGGGUGAAAUCCCGGAGCUCAACUCCGGAACUGCCCUUGAAACUGGGAAGCUAGAAUCUUGGAGAGGCGAGUGGAACUCCGAGUGUAGAGGUGAAAUUCGUAGAUAUUCGGAAGAACACCAGUGGCGAAGGCGACUCACUGGCUCAUUACUGACGCUCAUGCACGAAAGCGUGGGGAGCAAACAGG
rnacentral:rRNA from 1 species